CCUUGCCUCCAAAAUACAGUAGUGUUGUCAACAAAAAUACCUCAAUGUCACAGCAGUGUUGCACUGCACCAGUUUAACACUCUCCCCUCCCUAUAAAUGUAAAGCCAGGAGGAUCUAUCAGAGAAGCCAGGAGUCCUGGUCUGAGGCUGGAGGCCGUAGCCUGGGGAUGGAAGUGGUUUAGCUCUGGCCUCCCAGGGUGUGCUUGUCAAACAGGUACUCUGCCAUCUUGUUUUUGACAGCAUCCAUCUUGGUGAGGUUGGUGAUGUGGUC